GAUGAACGCUGGCGGCGUGCCUAAUACAUGCAAGUCGAGCGAACGGACGAGAAGCUUGCUUCUCUGAUGUUAGCGGCGGACGGGUGAGUAACACGUGGAUAACCUACCUAUAAGACUGGGAUAACUUCGGGAAACCGGAGCUAAUACCGGAUAAUAUUUUGAACCGCAUGGUUCAAAAGUGAAAGACGGUCUUGCUGUCACUUAUAGAUGGAUCCGCGCUGCAUUAGCUAGUUGGUAAGGUAACGGCUUACCAAGGCAACGAUGCAUAGCCGACCUGAGAGGGUGAUCGGCCACACUGGAACUGAGACACGGUCCAGACUCCUACGGGAGGCAGCAGUAGGGAAUCUUCCGCAAUGGGCGAAAGCCUGACGGAGCAAUGCCGCGUGAGUGAUGAAGGUCUUCGGAUCGUAAAACUCUGUUAUUAGGGAAGAACAUAUGUGUAAGUAAAUGUGCACAUCUUGACGGUACCUAAUCAGAAAGCAACGGCUAACUACGUG
rnacentral:rRNA from 1 species